CCGGAUCUGGGCGAGGGUGACGUCGAGCUCGUCGGCGGCGAGCUGGGCGAGCGCCGUGAGGAUGCCCUGCCCCAGUUCGACCUUGCCGACCCGCAC
rnacentral:tRNA from 1 species